rnacentral:rRNA from 1 species
GCCCGCGGCCUAUCAGCUUGUUGGUCGGGUAGUGGCCUACCAAGGCUUCGACGGGUAGCCGGCCUGAGAGGGUGACCGGCCACACUGGGACUGAGACACGGCCCAGACUCCUACGGGAGGCAGCAGUGGGGAAUAUUGCACAAUGGGCGGAAGCCUGAUGCAGCGACGCCGCGUGAGGGAUGACGGCCUUCGGGUUGUAAACCUCUUUCAGCACGGACGAAGCGCAAGUGACGGUACCUGCAGAAGAAGCACCGGCCAACUACGUGCCAGCAGCCGCGGUAAUACGUAGGGUGCAAGCGUUGUCCGGAAUUAUUGGGCGUAAAGGGCUCGUAGGCGGUUUGUCGCGUCGGCGUGAAAACCGGGGCUUAACUCUGGGCUUGCGGUCGAUACGGGC